rnacentral:lncRNA from 1 species
GACUUUCACCCCGUUCCCCGUUCCUUUUUUAGCUAAAUUAAUAUUUAACCAAUGAAAUCAUUGGGGAUAAAAGACAACCUAAAUCUACCAAUAAAUAAGGAGAUGAGUCCGAAGUUUACUUGGGUAAGUUCACUGAACCACAGCAGAAAUUAUAAGGCUAAAUAAAGCCGACACUUGGGUCAGGGGCAGACAUAGAUUAUUAGUAGGGUAGCACCGGCACCCCUCAUUUUUUUACAACGUAGUGCAAUUUUUUUUUUUUUACGUUUUUUGUAUUUUAUUGCCUGUGAAAAGAAAAUGUGUUACCCCUGAUAUUAUUUUAGGUUACCCCUCAAAAAGUACCGCAAAUUUAUGAUUAAAUAAUAAAUGAUUAAAAGGCCAUUAUAAUUAAAGCUCAAUAGCCCUCAUAAUUAAAACACCAAAGCCCACAUGGUUGGUCAAAAGCCCAAAUGAUUGCAGCGGCACACAGAAUCAUCAUGUCAGCGACCAUGGUUUAAAAAAACGGCCGAGGCGGUCGUAUUGAGGCGCGCCUCAGUUUGAAACGGAGAAAAAACGUAUAUGAGGCGGCGCCUCAGGGUCAGAAAUUAUACGCACGCCUCAGUGGAGUGAGACGUAAGCUUCAGAUCUGAGGCGGAACGAUUUUGGAGAGGCGUACGUAUAUAUUUUGGGUUGGAUAAAGACGUAGACGCUUGUGGCUAUGCGCAAUCAAGAAAAAAUAGGGUAGAAUAGAGAUGGAGACAUACCUUACAGCGAUGGAUUACCAAGAAAAUUAGGGUAAAAGUAGAACAGAGGAGUUGAUGUUGAUGACGGCGAUAAAAGAAUAAAAGAGUGAUGUAACUUAUUAGGGUUACUGAAGAAAAUAACUAGAGCUUUAUUUAUUUCAUUUACAAAAACUUACAUAAACACCCUUAAACAUUAAACUUUUAUCAUAGUCAACCCAAAACUAUCUCACAAGUCUAUUUACAUUAGGAAAGUUAUGUAUUUUAUGUUUAGUAUUUUAUUUUUUAAAAGAUAUAUAAUUUUUAUAUUAAUUUUUUAAUUCCGCCUCGGGCUUACGCCUCGGUUCGUCUCGAGGCUUACGCCUCGUGAGGCGAAGGGAAAACGCCUCGAAACUCGUUUCCGUUUUUUUAAACCUUGUCAGCGACCUCACCACAGACCGCCUCCCAUCUUCGCUCUCCAACCUCCACAACUCCGCCUCCCACUGCCGAUUACCGAGAACGACGGCAUUCCGCCUCCAUCUGAUCCAUUGCCGAUUGUCGAACGCCUCCAAAUCUCCAAUCUCAAAUCUCCAUUGUAAUUUGUAAAGAAGACAGGGGUUUAUGUGAAAUUGGUUUUAGAGUUUGUGUAAUCGAGACGGAUUGACGCAAUCGAAUGGGUGAGGAGUAUUUAACAAUGCUCUAAUUUGUGAGGUCAAAAGAGAAACUUUCCAUAAAGUAAAAGAAGAUGAUGUAAUGGCUCGAUUUCAUGCUUUCAAAAACCGAAGAAGAGAAAUCUAUUAAGUAUGUGUUUAACUUUAUUUAUUAUUGUGUUUUUAUUUUUGUUUCGUUUACAUUGUAUAAAAGUGUAAAAAUAAAAUUUUAUAACGACACCCCUGCAAUUUUGGUCUAGAUCCGCCACAAACUUGGGCUAAACUCUAAAGAAAGCCGACACUUGGACUUUGUAAAAACCUUUUUCCCGAAAGCAUGGGAUUAAUGUAAUGAACAACACUCGAACGAAGCCAUCCUCUGAUCCAGCAACCAAUUGA